rnacentral:rRNA from 1 species
GAUGAACGCUGGCGGCCUGCUUAACACAUGCAAGUCGAACGGAAGUAGCAAUACUUUAGUGGCGGACGGGUGAGUAACACGUAAGAAUCUGCCUCCAGGACGGGAAAAACAGUUGGAAACGACUGCUAAUUCCGGAUGAGCCGAAAGGUAAAAAGAAAUUCGCCUGGAGAUGAGCUUGCGGCUGAUUAGCUAGUUGGUAGGGUAAGAGCCUACCAAGGCGACGAUCAGUAGCUGGUCUGAGAGGAUGAGCAGCCACACUGGGACUGAGACACGGCCCAGACUCCUACGGGAGGCAGCAGUGGGGAAUUUUCCGCAAUGGGCGAAAGCCUGACGGAGCAAGACCGCGUGGGGGUGGAAGGUUCUUGGAUUGUCAACCCCUUUUCUCAGGGAAGAAGAUCUGACGGUACCUGAGGAAUCAGCAUCGGCUAACUCCGUGCCAGCCGCCGCAGUAAAAC